UCCCUGAUAGCUCAGCUGGUAAAGAAUCUGCCUGCAAUGCAGGGGACCUGGGUUCGACCCCUGGGUUGGGAA
rnacentral:tRNA from 1 species